GAUCACCACUAGGGGUGCCUUCAAGUCGCUUGCGGCCUGAGGGCUGAGAUCACACCCUCCGAACCUGAUCCGGGUCAUGCCGGCGCCAGGGAAGUGACCAAGCGUGAUC
rnacentral:ncRNA from 2 species